ACGCUCGACACCUACGGGGCAGCAGUGAGGAAUAUUGGUCAAUGGGCGCUAGCCUGAACCAGCCAAGUAGCGUGAAGGAUGAAGGCUCUAUGGGUCGUAAACUUCUUUUAUAUAAGAAUAAAGUGCAGUAUGUAUACUGUUUUGUAUGUAUUAUAUGAAUAAGGGUCGGCUAACUCCGUGCCAGCAGCCGCGGUAAUCUGAGCGGGCUGGCAAGGC
rnacentral:rRNA from 1 species